CCCUUAGAUGUUCUGGGCCGCACGCGCGCUACACUGAUGCAUUCAACGAGUCUAAAACCUGCUCUGAUAGGGGUGGGUAAUCUUUUGAAUGUGCAUCGUGAUUGGGAUAGAUGAUUGCAAUUUUUCAUCUUCAACGAGGAAUGCCUAGUAAACGCAAGUCAUCAGCUUGCAUUGAUUACGUCCCUGCCCUUUGUACACACCGCCCGUCGCUCCUACCGAUCGAAUGAUCCGAUGAAUAUCAUGGAUUGAGGAUGCAAGUAGGUUCGCCUAUCUUCAUCUUCGAGAAGUGAAGUAAAUCUUAUCAUUUAGAGGAAGGAGAAGUCGUAACA
rnacentral:rRNA from 1 species